rnacentral:rRNA from 1 species
CAAUAGCGUAUAUUAAAGUUGUUGCGGUUAAAAAGCUCGUAGUUGGAUUUCUGCCGAGGACGACCGGUCCGCCCUCCGGGUGAGUAUCUGGUUUGGCCUGGGCAUCUUCUUGGAGAACGUAGCUGCACUUGACUGUGUGGUGCGGUGUCCAGGACUUUUACUUUGAGGAAAUUAGAGUGUUUCAAGCAGGCACACGCCUUGAAUACAUUAGCAUGGAAUAAUAAGAUAGGACCUCGGUUCUAUUUUGUUGGUUUCUAGAGCUGAGGUAAUGAUUAAUAGGGAUAGUUGGGGGCAUUCGUAUUUAACUGUCAGAGGUGAAAUUCUUAGAUUGACGAAGGACAAACUGCUGCGAAAGCGUCUGCCAAGGAUGUUUUCAUUGA